rnacentral:rRNA from 1 species
AUGCACGCUAGCUACAGGCUUAACCCCUGCCAGUCGAGGGGCAGCAUGGUCUUAGCUUGCUAAGGCCGAUGGCGACCGGCGCACGGGUGAGUAACACGUAUCCAACCUGCCGUCUACUCUUGGACAGCCUUCUGAAAGGAAGAUUAAUACAAGAUGGCAUCAUGAGUCCGCAUGUUCACAUGAUUAAAGGUAUUCCGGUAGACGAUGGGGAUGCGUUCCAUUAGAUAGUAGGCGGGGUAACGGCCCACCUAGUCUUCGAUGGAUAGGGGUUCUGAGAGGAAGGUCCCCCACAUUGGAACUGAGACACGGUCCAAACUCCUACGGGAGGCAGCAGUGAGGAAUAUUGGUCAAUGGGCGCAGGCCUGAACCAGCCAAGUAGCGUGAAGGAUGACUGCCCUAUGGGUUGUAAACUUCUUUUAUAAAGGAAUAAAGUCGGGUAUGUAUACCCGUUUGCAUGUACUUUAUGAAUAAGGAUCGGCUAACUCCGU